GAUGUUCAGAUACGUCCGGAGUUUCUUCCUUCUGGCGGGUUCGUGGUCUUGCCUGACUUCAGGAGUGAAGCCGGAGACCUUCUCAGUGAGCUCUUACAGGUGGCGCGUCGGGAGCUGUUUCUUCCUCCCCGUGAGGCCGCCGACCUUCACAGUGAGCGUUAAGCUCUUACAGGUGGCGCGUCGGGAGCUGUUUCUUCCUCCCCGUGAGGCCGCCGACCUUCGCAGCGAGUGUUACAGCUCUUACAGGUGGCGCGUAGCACAGCUGUUAGCUC
rnacentral:lncRNA from 1 species